CAAGUCGGGGGAAACCCUGAUGCAGCCAUGCCGCGUGUGUGAAGAAGGCCUUCGGGUUGUAAAGCACUUUCAGUAGGGAGGAAGGUAGUGUAGUUAACACCUGCAUUAUUUGACGUUACCUACAGAAGAAGCACCGGCUAACUCCGUGCCAGCAGCCGCGGUAAUACGGGAGGGUGCGAGCGUUAAUCGGAAUUACGUGGGACGUAAAGCGCAUGCAGGCGGCCUGUUAAGUCAGAUGUAGAAACGGCCCGGGGCUUAACCUCGGAAAUUGCAUUUGAAACUGGCAGGCUAGAGUCUUGUAGAGGGGGGUAGGAAUUUCAGGUGUAGCGGUGAAAUGCGUAGAGAUCUGAAGGAAUACCAGUGGCGAAGGCGGCCCCCUGGACAAAGACUGACGCUCAGAUGCGAAAGCGUGGGGAGCAAACAGGAUUAGAUACCCUGGUAG
rnacentral:rRNA from 1 species